rnacentral:rRNA from 1 species
AGAGUUUGAUCAUGGCUCAGAACGAACGCUGGCGGCGUGCCUAACACAUGCAAGUCGAACGAGAAAUCCGACACUCAGGCAACUGAGUGUUAGAGAGUAAAGUGGCGCACGGGUGAGUAACGCGUGGGUAACCUACCCUUGAAACCGGGAUAACCCCGCGAAAGCGGGACUAAUACCGGAUGUGGUUCCAUGAGCCUCGGCUUUUGGAAUUAAAGGUGACCUCUUCAUGAAAGUUGCCGUUCAGGGACGGGCCCGCGUACCAUUAGCUUGUUGGUAGGGUAAUGGCCUACCAAGGCGACGAUGGUUAGCUGGUCUGAGAGGAUGAUCAGCCACACUGGAACUGGAACACGGUCCAGACUCCUACGGGAGGCAGCAGUGAGGAAUUUUGCGCAAUGGGGGAAACCCUGACGCAGCAACGCCGCGUGAGCGAAGAAGGCCCUCGGGUCGUAAAGCUCUGUCAAGUGGGAAAAAAGCCUUUCGAUGAAUAGUCGAUAGGUUUGAUGGUACCACUGGAGGAAGCACCGGCUAACUCCGUGCCAGCAGCCGCGGUAAUACGGAGGGUGCAAGCGUUGUUCGGAAUUACUGGGCGUAAAGGGCGUGCAGGCGGUUUGGCAAGUCAGAUGUGAAAGCCCUGGGCUUAACCCGGGAAGUGCAUUUGAAACUGCCUUUCUUGAGUAUGGGAGAGGAGAGUGGAAUUCCCAGUGUAGAGGUGAAAUUCGUAGAUAUUGGGAGGAACACCCGUGGCGAAGGCGACUCUCUGGACCAAUACUGACGCUGAGACGCGAAAGCGUGGGGAGCAAACAGGAUUAGAUACCCUGGUAGUCCACGCUGUAAACGAUGAGAACUAGGUGUGGCGGGUAUUGACCCCUGCUGUGCCGAAGUUAACGCAUUAAGUUCUCCGCCUGGGGAGUACGGCCGCAAGGCUAAAACUCAAAGGAAUUGACGG